AAAUCUGGAAAUGGGAAAUAGAUAUGCAUCAGAUUUUUUAUUUCAACAAAUUAAUCAGCACUGAAAAGGCACUUUUCUCUUCAUUGAGGUAUAGCAUAAUUCAUAAGCAUGAUCGAAGAAGCAGAAAUAAAAUCAUACGAUUCAUAAAUGUAACCAGUAUCACAGCUGUGCAGGAAAGAUCAGCUCAACUGUCAAGUUACAAUGUUACAUAAUUGCCGGCUACAACAAAAGUAAAACUAACACUAACGUUUUCUAUCUGAGCACUUACCUGGUUAUGCGUACACACGGACUAGAGAUAUUCCAGGCAUGGAUUUCAUGCUUAACCAAAAUCACAGUCGAAAUUAUCAUUGAGCAGUCUUAUCCCAAAUUAUAAAAAUAGACGAGCAGUUUCACAAUUAUGCAGUCAGGGAGAACAAACUAGAUUACAACAUUCAGUUUUCUGCUGAUAAAUUACAUAUCGCAUCCAUCUUCAUGUCAAAAGAUAAUAGACAGGGGCAUCCCAACUAAACACUUUUGAAUCCCCAGUUCCCCACGAAAAC
rnacentral:lncRNA from 1 species